GACGAACGCUGGCGGCGUGCUUAACACAUGCAAGUCGAACGGAAAGGCCCUGCUUUUGUGGGGUGCUCGAGUGGCGAACGGGUGAGUAACAAGUGAGUAACCUGCCCUUGACUUUGGGAUAACUUCAGGAAACUGGGGCUAAUACCGGAUAGGAGCUCCUGCUGCAUGGUGGGGGUUGGAAAGUUUCGGCGGUUGGGGAUGGACUCGCGGCUUAUCAGCUUGUUGGUGGGGUAGUGGCUUACCAAGGCUUUGACGGGUAGCCGGCCUGAGAGGGUGACCGGCCACAUUGGGACUGAGAUACGGCCCAGACUCCUACGGGAGGCAGCAGUGGGGAAUAUUGCACAAUGGGCGGAAGCCUGAUGCAGCAACGCCGCGUGCGGGAUGACGGCCUUCGGGUUGUAAACCGCUUUCGCCUGUGACGAAGCGUGAGUGACGGUAAUGGGUAAAGAAGCACCGGCUAACUACGU
rnacentral:rRNA from 1 species